rnacentral:rRNA from 1 species
UACGAAGGGGGCUAGCGUUGCUCGGAAUCACUGGGCGUAAAGGGUGCGUAGGCGGGUCUUUUAAGUCAGGGGUGAAAUCCUGGAGCUCAACUCCAGAACUGCCUUUGAUACUGAGGAUCUUGAGUUCGGGGAGAGGUGAGUGGAACUGCGAGUGUAGAGGUGAAAUUCGUAGAUAUUCGCAAGAACACCAGUGGCGAAGGCGGCUCACUGGCCCGAUACUGACGCUGAGGCACGAAAGCGUGGGGAAGCAAACAGGG